UAUAUACAUAUAUAUAUAUAUAUAUAUAUAUAUAUAUAUAUAUAUAGAGAGAGAGAGAGAGAGAGAGAGCAGGACAUCCAAUAAACUUGUAUUUAACAAGUUAUGGCUAACCUACAAUAUAUCAAUGUUUAUAGAGGAAGUGGUGGCCCUUUGUACUAUAUUAAAAAUUAAACAAGCCUGAUAGAAACAUCCAAACAUGAUAUAGAAAUUUGAAAUGAACUGUCUUGAUUAAAAAUGGCAACAUGUUUAAUGAUCUAGUAAAAAGAGCAGAAAACAAAUCCCUGUAAAAUAAUCUGGAGAAAAAUAAAAAAAAUCCCUAUGAUAUUUGAACUAGACCUAGUUGCACUUAAAUUUACAUGUUCUACUGAAGAAAAAAGGCAGCCCCUUAUUAUCAACAAGUGGGAACUCUGUUAACCAAACUCAAUUCCAUAGCUCCCACUGACCAGCCACACACAGAUAAGGAAGGGUUCCAUAGCUCCCACUGACCAGCCACACACAGAUAAAGAAGGGUUCCAUAGCUCCCACUGACCAGCCACACACAGAUAAGGAAGGAUUCCACAGCUCCCACUUACCAGUCACACACAGUUAAGGAAGGGUUCCAUAGUUGCCACUGACCAGCCACACACAGAUAAAGAAGGGUUCCAUAGCUCCCACUUACCAGUCACACACAGAUAAAGAAGGGUUCCAUAGCUCCCACUGACCAGCCACACAGAUAAAGAAGGGUUCCAUAGCUCAACAUUGACCAGCCACACACAGAUAAGGAAGGGUUCCAUAGCUCCCACUUACCAGUCACACACAGUUAAGGAAGGGUUCCAUAGCUCCCACUGACCAGUCACACAUAGAUAAGGAAGGGUUCCAUAGCUCCCACUUACCAGUCAGACACAGUUAAGGAAGGGUUCCAUAGCUCCCACUGACCAGCCACACACAGAUAAAGAAGGGUUCCAUAGCUCCCACUAACCAGCCACACACAGUUAAGGAAGGGUUCCAUAGCUCCCACUGACCAGUCACACAUAGAUAAGAAAGGGUUCCAUAGCUCCCACUGACAAGCCACACACAGCUAAGGAAGGGUUCCAUAGCUCCCACUAACCAGUCACAUACAGAUAAAGAAGGGUUCCAUAGCUCCCACUGACCAGCCACACACAGAUAAGGAAGGGUUCAAUAGCUCCCACUGACCAGCCACACACAGAUAAAGAAGGGUUCCAUAGCUCCCACUGACCAGCCACACACAGAUAAGGAAGGGUUCCACAGCUCCCACUUACCAGUCACACACAGAUAAAGAAGGGUUCCAUAGCUCCCACUAACCAGUCACACACAGAUAAAGAAAGGUUCCAUAGCUCCCACUGACCAGCCACACACAGAUAAAGAAAGGUUCCAUAGCUCCCACUAACCAGUCACACACAGAUAAAGAAGGGUUCCAUAGCUCCCACUGACCAGCCAUACACAGAUAAGGAAGGGUUCCAUAGCUCCCACUUACCAGUCACACACAGUUAAGGAAGGGUUCCAUAGCUCCCACUGACCAGUCACACAUAGAUAAGGAAGGGUUCCAUAGCUCCCACUGACCAGCCACACACAGAUAAGGAAGGGUUCCAUAGCUCCCACUAACCAGUCACACACAGAUAAGGAAGGGUUCCAGAGCUCCCACUGACCAGCCACACACAGAUAAAGAAGGGUUCCAUAGCUCCCACUGACCAGCCACACACAGAUAAGGAAGGGUUCCACAGCUCCCACUUACCAGUCACACACAGAUAAGGAAGGGUUCCAUAGCUCCCACUGACCAGUCACACACAGAUAAGGAAAGGUUCCAUAGCUCCCACUGACAGAGAAACCAUCUUAAGUAAAAGUACACACAAAUGAAGAUUAUGGAAGUGUAGUUAAUGGCUCCUUUUCACCAGUGCAAGGAAAGUAGGUGUGAUCUUUCCUGCAGUGACCAAUUGGCAGUGAAUCAAGCUGGAUAACAAUGAAUUCCAAAACUUCCUGUGACAGAAUAACCACAUUUUGGCAGGUCUGGGGCUUUGUCCCUGUACACCCAUAUUAAGGUGGGCCAUGGCACUCUUACCCCUGCUUACAAUAACUAAGAGGUAAGUGUACUUUGGAGUAGACAGACCACACUGAGAUGCUGCAAAGUUCGUCUUCACCUGUAAACAUUUACAAUUACAGCCCUAACAUUAUAAGGGUGCCAUUUACAUACACAAGUGGCAUCUGCAAUAAAUGAAUGUUUUAUGGGGAAUGUAAACUACCAAGCAUGACCCUUUUGUAUGUUUGAACCAUUGGAAAUGUAUUUGACUUUAAAGUAGUUCUUCAUAAAGAAGCUACAUUUAUAUUGCAUUUCUCAUCUAUCUUGGGGACUAUAGUUACAGUACAAACCUUUUCCUGUGAAAAUAACACACUACAUUAUUGUUUCUUUAAAACAUAAAAUAAAUAUCUCUUUCACAUGACUAGAAAUAUACUGAUAGCCUUGCUUUGAGUUUAUGCCAGCAUAACUUUUACAAUGAACAUUUAAUUUUACAUUUUAAAUAAACAAAGGCACAUUCUUCUUUAGGAAAGAAAAGGUGAAAUAAACAUAUGUUGUGUGGGGUGACUGGAGGGAAUUACAGGGAAGAGGUAGGCUGUAGUGGUCUACUACAUCAAAUUAUAUAAAGUCUAUUAGUUUCCUGAUUAAUCGAUUUAUUGUAAGUCAUAUAACUUUAUGCAGCUGCAGUCAGUAGAAGUGGAGGUUUCAGUAACUUGUGGUAUUCCAGUUAUUUUAUUGUGCAAUAAACUUUAAUAAAAUAUUUAGUACCUUAGUUUACUGUCUCCCAUGAAGAUUCUGAAGUGCUACAAACAUCUCAUAUUUAAAUUAUAUCAGUUAACAAGAUUAUUAUGUGCCCACAUCAAUACAAAUUAAGUUUAUAUAUUCAUAUAGUUCCUGCAGAGCAAAUGAAUUCAUCUUGAUAAAUUAAUACUUUUAUGAUUUUUUUAGUCGGCUGAUAUCUGUUACUGCUUUCUGAUUAAGUCAGUUGCAUUAUUUCAUGUUAUCAUUCCAACCUCAGAAAUGAGCACUGUCCUAUAAAAGGAAGCCUUGACAGUUAACAACUGUAGUGUGUACAAGUAAGCUAAGGUUUUGAUUUCAGCUACAGGAGUUUAAGACAUGUAAGUCUAUAAAAAUAUAUAAGCAAAUUAACUUAAUCCAAGUAUGAUGAAUUACAAAAUACAGCUAUCAUCAAACUAAAUUUAUUUUGUUCUCACAGCUGACUGACUGAAUUUUCACAGCUGAUUGUGAAAGCAUAGUGAGUGACUAAUUUCAAUUAAGUAUGUAAUCUCUUAUUGGUCAGCCAUAAAAUACACUGGAUAUUUCCUUAACCAACACCAAAUCCAAAAGGAAAAGAAUGAUCACCAAUGAUGACUGCUAUAGUACUUUUUGUACAUUGAAGAAUGUUGCUGACAGCUCCAGUGCCUGCGGUUCAGUCCUGACCUCCAGCCACAUUCUGUAUGGAGUAUUGCAUAUUCUCCUCAUUUAUGUGUAGGCUAUUUUCCAGAUACUCAGGUUUCCCCCCUUUUAAAAACAUGCUAGCUGAUUAGCUACACUAAUAGAGCGACUCAGUACAUAGAAUCUUUAUGAAAUUUCUCUGGAAAAGUGGAACUUCAGAAUCCUAUGGAAAGUGGUGAUAUUGUGGUGCUAUGUUCUUCCCCAGUACAUUUCAUUAUGAUUUUGCAAACUUUUUAUUUUACUUUGCGGAUAUUCACUACAAAAACUGAAUAACAAAAUUAUUUUGGAAUAUUUUGAAAAAGGGACAUAAUCAUUUCAUACAGUUUUAUUUUGUUACUGAAAACACAUUUGAAAAAAUUAUGAAUGAGUAUAAGUGAUUAUUUUAUCUUGUUUCAUUAAACAAAUCUAUUGUUGUUUUGUGGUCUCUGAACAGAUUACCUAGAAUCUUACAUGACUCAAGUCUAUACCCACUCUUUAGUUAACAGCCAUCAGAUUGUUAGUUUAUAUCUGAACAGGUGCAAAUAUUUUUCUGCAAAAUAUCUAUGCUUAUCUAAAUAUAUUCCAAAGAUGAAUAUUCUUGCAAGAAAGAAAAAAAAGAAUUUUGCAUUUAUUUACAAAGCCUCUUUGAUAUACUUACGAAAUGCAUGGUGAGGGAAAUUUAAACAGGAACCUUGAAUGAAUUUAAACUUUAACAAGGAACAUAAGAUAAAUAUCUUUAGACAAGUAAAAAAAAAAAGAAUCAUAUUUCAAUCCACAUUAGUUCAUUUCAGAUAAAAAUUAUGUAUGGACAAUAUAUCUUUCUUAUGACAACGUACCUCUCAAAAUGCUGUCAGUCUGAGUAAUGCCUGGUGGAUUUAAACUACUAUUGAUAGUUAUAUCAAUUACAUUUGGAUGUUCAAAUAUAAAAUUAAAGACAAAAAAUUGUUUUUGCUACAAUGGUCACAGACAGAUUAAU